UAGGGAAUCUUCCACAAUGGACGAAAGUCUGAUGGAGCAACGCCGCGUGAGUGAAGAAGGUUUUCGGAUCGUAAAGCUCUGUUGUUGGUGAAGAAGGAUAGAGGCAGUAACUGGUCUUUAUUUGACGGUAAUCAACCAGAAAGUCACGGCUAACUACGUGCCAGCAGCCGCGGUAAUACGUAGGUGGCAAGCGUUGUCCGGAUUUAUUGGGCGUAAAGCGAGCGCAGGCGGAAUGAUAAGUCUGAUGUGAAAGCCCACGGCUCAACCGUGGAACUGCAUCGGAAACUGUCAUUCUUGAGUGCAGAAGAGGAGAGUGGAACUCCAUGUGUAGCGGUGGAAUGCGUAGAUAUAUGGAAGAACACCAGUGGCGAAGGCGGCUCUCUGGUCUGCAACUGACGCUGAGGCUCGAAAGCAUGGGUAGCGAACAGGAUUAGAUACCCUGGUAGUCCAUGCCGUAAACGAUGAGCGCUAGGUGUUGGGGACUUUCCGGUCCUCAGUGCCGCAGCAAACGCAUUAAGCGCUCCGCCUGGGGAGUACGACCGCAAGGUU
rnacentral:rRNA from 1 species